rnacentral:rRNA from 1 species
AUUGAACGCUGGCGGUAGGCCUAACACAUGCAAGCCGAACGCGAAAGUCCUUCGGAGUGAGUAGAGUGGCGGACGGGUGGAGUAACGCGUAGGAAUCUAUCCUGUAGUGGGGGAGUAACGUUUCGAAAGGAACGCUAAUACCGCAUACGCCCCAACGGGGGAAAGGACGGGGGAGUCUUCGGACCUCGUGCUAUAGGAGGAGCCUGCGUCGGAUUAGCUAGUUGGUGAGGUAAAGGCUCACCAAGGCGACGAUCCGUAGCUGGUCUGAGAGGAUGAUCAGCCACACCGGAACUGAGACACGGUCCAGACUCCUACGGGAGGCAGCAGUGGGGAAUUUUGCGCAAUGGGCGAAAGCCUGACGCAGCGACGCCGCGUGUGCGAUGAAGGCCUUUGGGUCGUAAAGCACUGUCGACAGGGACGAAAGCUCGCUGGCUAAUAUCCGGCGAGGUUGACGGUACCUGUAAAGGAAGCACCGGCUAACUCUGUGCCAGCAGCCGCGGUAAUGUG